rnacentral:lncRNA from 1 species
CCAGGAAGCUAGCAGAGAGGACAGGGGAAUCCAACAUGGCAUAUCCAUCCCAUGGAAAAGUAUUUCUGUUGGUUUUGACUGGGCCACUGGGGCCUGGGGCUGUCUAGGGUCCUAGGAAUCAUCAACAGGGCACUCAGAAGGUGUGGGAUUGGGAGCAAAGUCUUCAAACUUGCACUCUGUCCACCCUGUCCUUGUCACAGACCCCCAUGGAGGGAACAGGCUGCUCCUAGAUGUGCUCUGACACUUGGAGACUGUUCUUGCAGCACAGGAAAUGAGUGCAUCUGUAUCCCUGCAGAGUCUACAUAGAGGCCAGGAGAGUAAAUAGAGGAUGAGGACUGUUAACAAAACCAGCCUCCCGGAGUGUUGGGACUACAGGAGAGAAGCUCAAAAAAGUGCAGAGUGAAUUGAGGACUUUGGAAUUCCAAUUGGAAGACCCAAUGAAAAUCAGGGUGGAUAUGAGAAGCAGU